rnacentral:rRNA from 1 species
GACGAGCGCUGGCGGCGUGCUUAACACAUGCAAGUCGAACGGAAAGGCCCUGCUUUUGUGGGGUGCUCGAGUGGCGAACGGGUGAGUAACACGUGAGUAACCUGCCCUUGACUUUGGGAUAACUUCAGGAAACUGGGGCUAAUACCGGAUAGGAGCUCUGCUGCAUGGUGGGGGUUGGAAAGUUUCGGCGGUUGGGGAUGGACUCGCGGCUUAUCAGCUUGUUGGUGGGGUAGUGGCUUACCAAGGCUUUGACGGGUAGCCGGCCUGAGAGGGUGACCGGCCACAUUGGGACUGAGAUACGGCCCAGACUCCUACGGGAGGCAGCAGUGGGGAAUAUUGCACAAUGGGCGGAAGCCUGAUGCAGCAACGCCGCGUGCGGGAUGACGGCCUUCGGGUUGUAAACCGCUUUCGCCUGUGACGAAGCGUGAGUGACGGUAAUGGGUAAAGAAGCACCGGCUAACUACGUG